rnacentral:rRNA from 1 species
GCAGUCGAGCGGACCUCUUCGGAGGUUAGCGGCGGACGGGUGAGUAACACGUGGGCAACCUGCCUGUAAGACUGGGAUAACUCCGGGAAACCGGAGCUAAUACCGGAUAGUAUCUUGAACCGCAUGGUUCAAGUUGGAAAGACGGUUUCGGCUGUCACUUACAGAUGGGCCCGCGGCGCAUUAGCUAGUUGGUGAGGUAAUGGCUCACCAAGGCAACGAUGCGUAGCCGACCUGAGAGGGUGAUCGGCCACACUGGGACUGAGACACGGCCCAGACUCCUACGGGAGGCAGCAGUAGGGAAUCUUCCGCAAUGGACGAAAGUCUGACGGAGCAACGCCGCGUGAGUGAUGAAGGUUUUCGGAUCGUAAAACUCUGUUGUUAGGGAAGAACAAGUGCGAGAGUAACUGCUCGCACCUUGACGGUACCUAACCAGAAAGCCACGGCUAACUACGUGCCAGCAGCCGCGGUAAUACGUAGGUGGCAAGCGUUGUCCGGAAUUAUUGGGCGUAAAGCGCGCGCAGGCGGUUUCUUAAGUCUGAUGUGAAAGCCCCCGGCUCAACCGGGGAGGGUCAUUGGAAACUGGGAAACUUGAGUGCAGAAGAGGAGAGUGGAAUUCCACGUGUAGCGGUGAAAUGCGUAGAGAUGUGGAGGAACACCAGUGGCGAAGGCGACUCUCUGGUCUGUAACUGACGCUGAGGCGCGAAAGCGUGGGGAGCGAACAGGAUUAANUACCCUGGUAGUCCACGCCGUAGACGAUGAGUGCUA